UACGAAGGGGGCGAGCGUUGCUCGGAAUGACUGGGCGUAAAGGGCGCGUAGGCGGCUUGAGUAGUCAGGCGUGAAAUUCCUGGGCUUAACCUGGGGGCUGCGCUUGAGACGCUUGGGCUUGAGUGGGGAAGAGGGUCGUGGAAUUCCCAGUGUAGAGGUGAAAUUCGUAGAUAUUGGGAAGAACACCGGUGGCGAAGGCGGCGACCUGGUCCUUGACUGACGCUGAGGCGCGAAAGCGUGGGGAGCAAACAGG
rnacentral:rRNA from 1 species